rnacentral:lncRNA from 1 species
CUCAACUUGGAGCUGCUUCACAAGCAGCCACCAAGGUCAGGAGCCCAGAUUUGAAUGUAAUAAUAAUUUUAUUCAAUUUACAGAAAUAAUGUGAUUUCCUAAAACGUGGGAAUUAGCAAGUCAAGCCCAGAGAAUUAAAACUGCCCGGAGGCUCAGCUGCCCUGAAAGAAUCCAGUAAAACUCCAUCUCAAGCUAGCAAGAAGCGGAACACGGCAUCUAUUUUUGUUAUGACAUCCUUGAGGUCAGCCCAGCAACAGGGAGGGGAAGAAAUUAAAAGCAGCUGCCGUGGCCCUGCGGUGGGAGGGGAGCUGCCAAGCGUGGCCAUCCCUGGUCGGUUCCACUGGGAGAGGAGAGGAGGUCACCAGGCCAUGUUGGUGUGCCACGUUGGGUAUACUUGUCCUUACCAACCUCCUCAACUGUAAGAGCAACCAGAGUAACUGCCCUUCAAAUUUCUGAUAAUGUUGGAAAGAAUUGACUGCUUUGACUUUGG